UACUCCGAGACCGAGGUUAGCGUGGUGGGGAAGUUGCAAGUUCUCUAAUGCGGUUUGAAUCGUUUGCUGGCCACCCACGUGUUAGGAUCGAACCCGUGUUCAGACUGUAGGGGGUGGAGAGCGGUGUUCCGGCGGAGGGAAUCGGGCCCUGGGGCUGUUGAAUUCAGAACAGGCUGAAAAUGGAAUUGAUUUGCUGGGAGGAAACAAUUGCUUUGGACCAGUGCCAUGUUCCAGAUAUGGGGAGCAAUGAGCUGAUGGUGAAGAGGCAGGAGACUGACUCCCCAACCCCACAAAAUGAUUGGGGCCGACGAGGACAAAUGAAGUAACUGAAUCUUGAAAAUGGGCUGAAAUGAAACAUACCGGACCUGAGCACACAGGAUAGUAGGGGUGGAGUUGGGAAGCUCGGGAGUCCAUGUUGGAACAUGAGGCAGGUGGGUGAGGAAGCAGCUAAAAUUCUCAACCACUUGAGGUUUCAGAGUCCUGGGUGGUGUUUUGUGUGUGGGAGGGGCAGCCGCAUUGCCACUUGUAGGACUAGGAGGACUCUGCUGUGAUGAACUGCAUGUUCAGUCCGUGUUUCACCUGAAUACCCUGAUUACACACAUGCCCUGAGCAGACUAAUGAAACAAACACCUGCAGCAGAGGUCUGAUUUGGAGGAAAGCUGAUGUUCUAAUGGUCUCCAAUGCAACCCCAUAAGUCCCAGGCAGUGAGGAGAACAAGUAGCAGAUCCAUGCAGACUCUUCAGAAACUUGGUUCUGGCUUUUGUGCAAAUGAAGGAGUAUACAUGCAAGGAAAAGUCUUCCGUUUAGUUGAUAGCUCUUAUUUUUUAAUUUUUUUUAUUUUUCCCCUUUCUCUCCAUUGACUUGGAAAUAUUUCCUCCCUGUAUCUAUAAGGGCAGGAACUCUAAAAACAAAAUUGGAUGGUUUCUCCUCUCCCUCCUCACCCUGGAUCCCUUAUAGGAAUCACAGAUGUAAGUACUGCUGGAAUUUCGUAUCCAUCCAGUUGCUUAGCAUGGCCUCAUAUUGGUACCCCAGGCCAAUGUCACCAUGGGGGCAGGUAUGGGACGAGAAAGAGGUACUAUGGCAGACCUAGCAGUAACAAAUGUCUGGCAUGGCAUAUACCAUGCAUUCCUCAUUCUGUGACAGUCUCUGAAUUGAUCUUCCAAACAUUGCCAGGCUGUCUUUCAUUACCUGAAGCUGCAGAUGCCUCCAGAAAGCCGUAUCUUUCUGCACAUAUGAAUAGGAACUCCUUUCUGCAGGAUUUUAGUAAGGAAACUGCUUAGUAAAGGUUUGCUCAUUAGGGAAAUUCAUGGUGUAUCUCUCUAGGGAAUCCUGUUGCUUUCAGAGCUGCUUAUUUAAGGGAGAGUGGUCGUGAUGACCGUUCCUCUUACUGCCAUGAGCCAUGGGCAGUGGGAUUUUGUGUCAUCGCAGAUUAAACUUGGCCUUUCUUCACUCAGAGUGCUCUCAGAUGGGUUUGGCCGUCCGUUGGCACUUCUGAAUUUUGCAGGGUCAGCCACUCAAAAAGGCAGAGGGGGACUGGACUUUUGGGGAAAGAAAUGGGGUUGAAAAACCAGCUGUUCUGUACAUAUUUCUCUGUAAACUUUGGGCAGUGGGCUAUGGUAACGAGAUAGUAAUUUUACAAUGUGAAUUGAAAGAUUGCCUGAGCUGAAGCGGUAGGAGCUAUGCUGGCCUCAGCUGGGAGGAGUUAGUGCAGUUAAGCUAUCUAGUUUUCCAAGAGGCAACUGUGUGCUGCAUUCUGCAUCUUUAAUACUGAGAUUGCUUAUCUUUACAGGGAUGAUUUGAGAUGGGCCUUCAAGGAAAAUGUAUCUUUCUCUCCACCGAUGUCAAUUGUAAGAGAGAAUUUGGGCCCUGAAGAUUAAAAGUUUUGGCCUGUCUCUGAUCUGUAUUACAGGGACUCCUCAAAGUUAUGUCCAGGAAAGUUUGUACUAAAAACAGGAUUAAACUAGAAUGGAUGUGUAAGAGUUGGGUAUUUUUGUAAAAAGUUCAGUAGUAGAACUGAGGGGGAAAUGGAGCUUUCUCAACUGUAAUCCACUGGUGUGAAUUCAGCCCAGGUCAAUAGUGGUUGUGGUUGAGAUUUUCACAGGAGACUUAAGGGCUUUAGAUGGCAUGCUGCUUUAGGCUCCUUUUGAAAAUCCCAGAUAUUUUUAAAGCUCUUAGUCACUGUAAUAUCUGUGGACUUGUACAAAAUUGAGGCUACGGAUAGUUAAUUUAUUGCUUGGUCUAAAAUUACUUUCCACUUUUCUGUGAAUUUACUCUCCCGUGUCCACUGUCUGUCUUCUACUACCAGCACCAUUUAGGUUAAGCUGAGAUUUUCAAAUGUGCGGAGGAUUUGGACACUCAGUUCCCAUUUAAAAAAUUAAUGGGAAUUUAACAGGCAUAUGCCAUAGAUUUGAAAAUCCUUAACCUAAAUGUAUUUAAACUACGUCUCCCUCACUCGCCUGACACCAGCACAAACCCUUAUUUCGUGCUCCCAGUGUUGUUAUCCUCUCUCAUCCCUUUUUUCUCUCCACCCCAAAUAUGUAGAUCCUUUCCCACUGAGUGGGCAGCCACCACUGCACAUCACCUAUGUAUUACCGCUCUUGUGUUGAACAGCAGUGAGAGAGAUGGAGCUGAGCACUAGGGCUGUGUGAACUGACUUCAGCAACAUGUGGUUUUGAGUUUAGACAUCCUGGGUAAUAUGGAAGUCAGGAGAAAAUCUCAAUGUCAUGAGAAGAGAUGCCAAGCUGGACCCUCAAAACCAGGGCCAUCCGAGAAAACAUGGGCCAUUUGGUCAUAAAGAGUUUUAACGAGUUUGUGGGGAUUCAGCUGACAACAAUAAAACAAGCAUUUCCCCAAAACCAUGUUUUUAAAGCAGAAUGAAUCUAAAAAUUUUGUAAUUAUCCUAUUUGCCAAUCAUGUGGAACUCCUCCUUAUGCAGAACUUGCAGUUUUAUUUUAAUGUGAUUGCCUUUUUACUGUGUGUGACAGUCUCACUCAAUUUGAUAGCGUUUCUGUGUAUUUGUCUGUACAUGUGUAAUGUGAUCACUUUUCAACAC